rnacentral:misc_RNA from 1 species
GAUGAAGAAACGUAGCGAAAUGCGAUAAGUAAUGUGAAUUGCAGAAUUCAGUGAAUCAUCGAAUCUUUGAACGCAACUUGCGCUCUCUGGUAUUCCGGAGAGCAUGCCUGUUUGAGUGUCAUGAAAUCUCAACCAUUAGGGUUUCUUAAUGGCUUGGAUUUGGAGGCUGCCAUUCUAAAUGGCUCCUCUUAAAGGAGUUAGCAAGUUUUACUAUUGCUAUCUGGCGUAAUAAGUUUCGCUGGAAUGGUAUUGUGAAGCGUGCUUCUAAUCGUCUUCGGACAAUUACUUUGACUCUGGCCUCAAAUCAGGUAGGACUACCCGCUGAACUUAAGCAUAUCAAUAAGCGGAGGA